rnacentral:rRNA from 1 species
UACGGAGGAUGUAAGCGUUAUCCGGAUUUAUUGGGUUUAAAGGGUGCGUAGGCGGAUGCUUAAGCGUGAGGUGAAAUGCCCGGGCUCAACCUGGGAACUGCCUCGCGAACUGGGUAUCUGGAAUGUCCGUGCCGUGGGAGGAAUGUGUGGUGUAGCGGUGAAAUGCAUAGAGACCACACAGAACACCGAUUGCGAAGGCAUCUCACGAACGGAUGAUUGACGCUGAGGCACGAAAGCGUGGGGAUCAAAC